rnacentral:rRNA from 1 species
UUAAGCAUAUCAAUAAGCGGAGGAAAAGAAACCAACAGGGAUUGCCUCAGUAACGGCGAGUGAAGCGGCAACAGCUCAAAUUUGAAAUCUGACCCCUCCGGGGCCCGAGUUGUAAUUUGUAGAGGGUGUUUCGGGCGCGGCGCCGGUCUAAGUUCCUUGGAACAGGACGUCAUAGAGGGUGAGAAUCCCGUACGUGACCGGCGGCCAAGCCCAUGUGAAGCCCCUUCGACGAGUCGAGUUGUUUGGGAAUGCAGCUCAAAAUGGGUGGUAAAUUUCAUCUAAAGCUAAAUACCGGCCAGAGACCGAUAGCGGACAAGUAGAGUGAUCGAAAGAUGAAAAGCACUUUGGAAAGAGAGUCAAACAGUACGUGAAAUUGUUGAAAGGGAAGCGCUUGCAAUCAGACCGGUCCGGGGGCGAUCAGCCGCUGCUCGUCAGCGGUGCACUCGCCCCCGAUCCGGCCAGCAUCGGUUUGGGCGGCGGGAAAAAAGGCCCGGGAAUGUAGCUUCCCUCGGGGAGUCUUAUAGCCCGGGUCGUCAUGCCGCCCGCCCGGACCGAGGACCGCGCUUCGGCUAGGAUGCUGGCGUAAUGGUUGCAAGCGACCCGUCUUGAAACACGGACCAAGGAGUCUAACAUCUAUGCGAGUGUUUGGGUGUCAAACCCAGGCGCGGAAUGAAAGUGAACGGAGGUGGGAACCCUCGGGCGCACCAUCGACCGAUCCAGAUGUCUUCGGAUGGAUUUGAGUACGAGCAUAGCUGUUGGGACCCGAAAGAUGGUGAACUAUGCCCGGAUAGGGUGAAGCCAGAGGAAACUCUGGUGGAGGCUCGCAGCGGUUCUGACGUGCAAAUCGAUCGUCAAAUCUAGGCAUAGGGGCGAAAGACCAAUCGAACCAUCUAGUAGCUGGUUCCUGUCGAAGUUUCCCUCAGGAUAGCAGUAACGUUUUCAGUUUUAUGAGGUAAAGCGAAUGAUUAGAGGCCUUGGGGCUGAAACAGCCUUAACCUAUUCUCAAACUUUAAAUAUGUAAGAAGUCCUUGUUACUUAGUUGAACGUGGACAUUUGAAUGCACCGUUACUAGUGGGCCAUUUUUGGUAAGCAGAACUGGCGAUGCGGGAUGAACCGAACGCGAGGUUAAGGUGCCGGAAUGCACGCUCAUCAGACACCACAAAAAGUGUCAAUUCAUCCAGACAGCCGGACGGUGGCCAUGGAAGUCGGAAUCCGCUAAGGAGUGUGUAACAACUCACCGGCCGAAUGAAUUGGCCUUGAAAAUGGAUGGCGCUCAAGCGUGCUACCCAUACCUCGCCGCCAGGGUAGAAACGAUGCCCUGG